GUGCUCGCUUUGGCAGCACAUAUACUAAAAUUGGAAUGAGACAGAGAAGAUUAGCAUGGCCCCUGUGCAAGGAUGAUAUACAAAUUCAUGAAACAUUCUAUAUUUUU
ensembl:snRNA U6 U6 spliceosomal RNA